rnacentral:rRNA from 1 species
GAAUAUUGCGCAAUGGCCGAAAGGCUGACGCAGCGACGCCGCGUGCGGGAGGAAGCCCCUCGGGGUGUAAACCGCUGUCAGAGGGGACGAACCGCCAUGGUGGGAAUACUGCCCAGGUCUGACGGUACCCUCAGAGGAAGCACCGGCUACCUCCGUGCCAGCACCCGCGGUAAUACGGGGGGUGCGAGCGGUGUUCGGAAUUACUGGGCGUAAAGGGCGCGUAGGCGGAGGUGCAAGUCGGUGGUGAAAGCCCAGGGCUCAACCCUGGGAUUGCUUCCGAUACUGCAACUCUAGGGACCGGUAGAGGUCGGUGGAAUUCCCGGUGUAGCGGUGGAAUGCGUAGAUAUCGGGAAGAACACCUGUGGCGAAGGCGGCCGACUGGACCGGAUCCGACGCUGAGGCGCGAAAGCGUGGGGAGCAAAC